ACAGAAGCCGGACAGGGGAGAUACUGUGAUCAACAAGGUGGUUUUUCCAGGGUGAGGUCUGUCCCUUGCACUCUGGGCAAGCUGACCCCUGCAAUUUCCCUAAGGUGUUUCUUCCAGGGGGAGACAUAUCUAUUGCACUCCCAGCAAGCUGCCUCAGGAUGCUCAACUGAAUGCAGGAAGCUCAACUGCACUAUGUUGUGGCAAUAAGGGACUACAUUCAUGCUUCCUCCAU
rnacentral:snRNA from 14 species